rnacentral:lncRNA from 1 species
CCUGUAAUCCCAGCACUUUGGGAGGCUGAGGCAGGAGGAUCGCUUGAGCCCAGGAGUUCAAGACAAGCCUGGGCAACUUAGGGAGACCCCGUCUCUACCAAAAAUAAAAAAAUUAGCCAGGUAGAGUGGUACGUGCCUAUAGUUCCAGUUACCCGGGAGGCUGAGGUGAAAGGAUCGCUUCAGCCCAGAAGUUCAAGACUGCAAUGAGCCCUGAUCGCGCCACUGCACUCCAGCCUGGGUGACAGAUCAAGGCCCUGUCUCAAAAAAUAAUUAAUUAAAUACUUGACCCAUUGCACGAUCUUUCCAUGCACGACAGCUGCUCUUCUAUUAUUCUUCCAGGAUGAGCUGCACAGCCUGCCCCCUUGGGUUUCCAGGUUGUGGGAGAUGAGCAAAACUGAAUGACCUCAGUAGGCCAAGAGCAAAGGAUGUGGGUCCGGACCUGGUGGCCAGUUGCUUGUGACAGGAGCUGGGCUGGAGUCCCCAAGUGCCACUAGUGCUGACAUCUUUUAACUGUGUUCAUUGUGACUUGUUUAUUUCUAAAAGUAACCACUGGCGCCUUGGUGCAGAUGGAACUCCAGGUGCAUGCGGUGAGUUAACCAUGGUCUGGGGAGCUUUGUUUCCACGCCUAGGACAUGCAUCUGUGUGCAUGAUAUGUGAGCUGAUAUAGCCAUGCCUCUGGUGAUUUGAACGCCUGCGCUUCCCAGCUGCUUCAGGGCCCUGAACAUCGCUGGAUGUUUGUACUUCAUUCCCUCCUCAGCCCAGCUGGUCCCACUCCGCAGCUGUGCUCUAGGCAUUUCAUCUCAACUGGGUGAUAUAUUUGAAUACAGCAAUUAUAAGAACAGCAACCUCAGAAGAACAUCUGGCAUCCAGACCUCCCCAGCCUAGUUCCACAAGACCAUCAACAAGAUUUCAAGGCUUUAAAGAAAGGAGCUGCUUCAGG